CUCUCCUGGCAAUGGGCAAGGAGAAACCUUGGUGGUGGUGGUGUUCUUAUAUCAGUCAGGGGCAGACCAGAUGGCAGCCUUUUGUUCACCCUAGCUUGAAAGCUGGCUUGGUAUCAAAGCUAAAGCUGUUUUAUGCCUAGGACACAUAA